ACUUCCACUGUACCGAGCGGGCGGGACGCUGCUUUGCCGGGUAGAUUCAACGGAGAACUGUGCAUAUAGCGUAAGAAGGAAGACGAGAAGCAGAUAGUAGUUUUACGCUGAUGUGUCUGUACAAAUAUCAUGCCCAAACAAAUUUAAUAGUCACAGAGAGAGACAACGAAGGGCAAUCACUAUUUCUCUGAGAUGCUUUAUCGUCAAAUAUUAUGUACAACAUUGUCCCAAUCAGUUGUUGAUGCAGUCACCGUGCUUCGCCUGUGUGUCCAAGGGUUUAGUUUUCGUGUGAAACGUCGACAAUAGCUAAACAUGUAUGACUUGUACAAGAUUUUGAAUAGGGGGAUAUUUGCAGUUAAUAAAAUAAAAUAUUUCACUUCAGCAGAAGUUGUUGAACAGCUAAAGGAGACCAUACGUAGGGGUGUUCAUGAAAGAUAUUUGCCAGACCCAUUCAAAGUAGGUCAUGGUGGUACUUUAGAUGAUACUGCAACUGGAGUUUUAGUUGUAGGUGUUGGUGAGGGCUGUCAGCUUUUAGCACGAUUUCUACAUGGAAACAAAAAAUAUGUAGUAACAGGAUGUUUGGGUUCUGAAACAACUACAUAUAACGAGACUGGAAUUCAUGUCAAUUCAGCACCUUAUGAUCACAUAUCAAAAGAGUCAUUAGAGGAAGCUUUGAUGUCAUUUAGAGGAAAAAUAUUGCAGACACCUCCAAAAUAUUCUGCGCUAAAGAUGGGUGGAAGAAGAAUAGCUGAUCUGACAAGAUCUGGUAUCAACGUAGAAAUGAAACCACGACACGUUAUGUGCUACAAUGUGAAGUGCACAGAUUUCAACCCGCCAUUUUUUAAACUUGCUUUGUCUUGUGGACCUGGCUUUUAUGUACGAAGUUUGGUUCAUGACUUAGGACUUGCCCUGAAGAGCUACGCAUAUGUAACUGAAUUACGGAGAAUACAGCAUGGACCAUUUACGGAGGAUGACAUGCUUGAACCUGAGAAGUGGACUAUAGAAGAUAUCGUGUGUGCUAUUCAACAAGCAUCUGAGAAGUAUGCAGAAUUCUUACAGAAUUUAAAAAAUGGAGCAAUGGCCAGUUAAGAGAGAAAUUCAUAAAAUGCUUUGAUGUAAGGGAGAGGACAUAACUCCAAGGUCAAUGAAUGAUACAUCUCAUAACUGUUACUACGUGAAGCCAAGCGCCGGCACGCCAGUCGAGAACGACAAAGCAGAGAGGCUGCGAGAAGAAAUAAACCAACUGCACAUUGACUGGACCUCAGGAUGACAAUGCGACAGCAGUGGCCCCUAUGUGAAGAGGACAUAAGUGCCGCUACUGACUGGUGACAGCUCAGUUCGACAGCAGCUUCCAGAUUAGCGACUUGGAUAGCAGCAUCACGAUAGGCACUUUGAUAGCAGUUCAGGAAAGGCUUGUCAGAGAUCAGCAGUCACGCAAAGAUUGCUUGUUUCAAAUGUCGCCCUUUGCUUGCAACUCAUCUGUGUAAUUGUCAAAGUUAAGUAUUUUAUCUUUUCUUAUUGUAAUAAAACUCAUUAAUAUGACUUGUUUGAUUGAUUGUCUAGUGAACCGUGUAUAAAGGCUUCCUAGACACAAAAACAUUGGCGACGAGGUGAACAAAUCCCAUAGUGAAACCCAGAGCUUGGCUGAUAUAAUUUUGUUUGUUGUGGGCUUUUGUGUUUUGCUGGCACCUUAAUUCUUCCUUGACUUUGCUUUGCAAGGUUGUGUUUACACAUUUUAACGGUGUAUCAGUGUUUUUUCUAUUUAGUGUUUUCAGGUGGGCAUUGUAGAAUUCUUUUGUGUGUGUGUGCUUAAUUUUAUUGCUUGCAUUGUCUAUUUAUUACAUUAGUCUAUUCCAAAAUUAGCAACUCACCUAUCUCAUUCCCUUCUCAGACGCCUCAGUUGCAAGCAACAGAUGAAAUGCAGCUAACACCCUUCUAAACAUGAUACAGCAGUUACUCGCAAGUCAAGGACCGAACACAGUGCAUGCAACAACUGUAACUCCAAGAGCCACACCACCUUUUCACCAGUUUAACGAAAAAGAAGAGGAAUGACUCAAGUAGUUGCAAUGUAUGAAGACCACACUAUUGCUCACAAAGUAUCAGGUACUGUGAAACUACAUUACAUUUUUGUCAACGUAGGAAGGGCAGUCUUUUGCUUCAUUCAGAAAUUGUUCCCCAAUGUUACUCCAAGUGACUUUCCUAUGAUCAGGUUGUAGAUUCUCUAACUAAUUAUUAUGGCCGACAAGUGAACGUGGUGGUUGCUAGGUACCAAUUCUAUGACUGUAAGAAAAGGUCAGAACAAACUUACUGUGGGUGGGUAACAUAUUUGCAGGGUAUGGUGAGGAAAUGCAAAUUCAAAUGUGCUUGUGGUGCUUUGAAUGUAAAUGAAUAUAGAUGUUUUGUUGGCGUGAUGCGAUCGUGUACAAUGUUA